GGGACUUCGGUCCCGAGUAGAGUGGCGCACGGGUGAGUAACGCGUAAGUAAUCUACCCCUGUAUUCGGAAUACCCCACCGAAAGGUGAGCUAAUACCGGAUACGUUUAUCUUGAUGCGAAUGAUGAUAAAGAAAGGUGGCCUCUUCUUGAAAGCUACUGUACAGGGACGAGCUUGCGUACCAUUAGCUAGUUGGUAGGGUAAUGGCCUACCAAGGCGACGAUGGUUAGCGGGUCUGAGAGGAUGAUCCGCCACACUGGAACUGGAACACGGACCAGACUCCUACGGGAGGCAGCAGUGAGGAAUAUUGCGCAAUGGGGGCAACCCUGACGCAGCGACGCCGCGUGGAUGAUGAAGGCCCUUGGGUCGUAAAAUCCUGUCAGAUGGAAAGAAAUGCCACAGGGCUAAUAUCUUUGUGGUUUGACGGUACCAUCAAAGGAAGCACCGGCUAACUCCGUGCCAGCAGCCGCGGUAAUACGGAGGGUGCAAGCGUUGUUCGGAAUUACUGGGCGUAAAGCGCGCGUAGGCGGUUUGCUCAGUCAGAUGUGAAAGCCCUCGGCUUAACCGGGGACGUGCAUUUGAAACUGGCAGACUUGAGUAUUGGAGGGGGUGGUGGAAUUCCCGGUGUAGAGGUGAAAUUCGU
rnacentral:rRNA from 1 species